rnacentral:rRNA from 1 species
GAUGAACGCUGGCGGCGUGCUUAAUACAUGCAAGUCGAGCGAAGCGCUUUAACGGAAUUCUCCGGAAGGAAGGUAAAGUGACUGAGCGGCGGACGGGUGAGUAACGCGUGGGUAACCUGCCUUAUACAGGGGGAUAACAGUUAGAAAUGGCUGCUAAUACCGCAUAAGCGCACAGGACCGCAUGGUCUGGUGUGAAAAACUCCGGUGGUAUAAGAUGGACCCGCGUCUGAUUAGCUGGUUGGUGGGGUAACGGCCCACCAAGGCGAUGAUGCAUAGCCGAGUUGAGAGACUGAUCGGCCACAAUGGAACUGAGACACGGUCCAU